AUUUAAAUAAAGAAGAGCUGAAAGAAUGGAAAAGAAGAAGGCAUUUGGUGUUACAAGGAAACUCGGUAAUUGGUGAUUCUAAGCAGGGUAGAGAAUACAUGAAUUGGUUUUUAUCAAUUCCUUUUAUGCACGUUGCUCCGACACAAUUUUUGGAUGAUCCCCGUCAACGUGUAGCUUCUUCAACCCAACACACAACAUCACCCCCACAACAAGAUAACCAACCAUCAUC
rnacentral:lncRNA from 1 species